rnacentral:rRNA from 1 species
CAGCGCCACGAGUGGCAAUCGUGUAUUUGGCCUAAAGCGUCCGUAGCCGGAUUUGUAAAUCUUUUGUGAAAUCGUUGAGCUCAACUUAACGGCGUGCAGAAGACACUGCGAGUCUUGAGACCGGGAGGAGAUAGAGGCAUUCUAGGGGGAGCGGUAAAAUGCUAUAAUCCCUGGAGGACCACCAGUGGCGAAGGCGUCUAUCCAGAACGGAUCUGACGGUGAGGGACGAAAGCCAGGGGAGCGAACCGGAUUAGAGACCCGAGUAGUCC